AUUGAACGCUGGCGGCAGGCCUAACACAUGCAAGUCGAGCGAGCGGCGGACGGGGGAGUAAUGUAUGGGGAUCUGCACGAUAGAGGGGGAUAACUACUCGAAACGGUAGCUAAUACCGCAUACCAUAGGAUGUGUCCACAUGGGAUUAGCUAGUAGGUGGGGUAAAGGCUCACCUAAGCGACGAUCCCUAGCUGGUCUGAGAGGAUGACCAGGGACACUGGAACUGAGACACUGUCCAGACUCAUACGGGAGGCAGCAGUGGGGAAUAGUGCACAAUGGGCGCAAGCCUGAUGCAGCCAUGCCGAGUGUGUGAAGAAGGCCUUCGGGUGGUAAAGUACUUUCAGCGGGGAGGCGUUACCCGCAGAAGAAGCACCGGCUAACUCCGUGCCAGGAGCCGCGGUAAUAC
rnacentral:rRNA from 1 species